rnacentral:rRNA from 1 species
CGAUGAACCUUACUUAAUUUUAUAAUUUAAUUUGUAUAUCGCUGUUAUUUGAAAAUUUUAUAAGAAAAAUAAUUUUCUAAAAUUUUUAUUAAAAAAUAAAUCAAGUCAAGGUGCAGUUUAUAAUUAAGAAAUAUAUGGGUUACAAUAAAUUUAUUUAAACGGAAUAAUAAAUGCAAUUAUUUUUAUAAAGGUGGAUUUGAUAGUAAAUUUUUAUAGAUAAAAAAAUUGAUUUUAGCUCUAAAAUAUGUACACAUCGCCCGUCGCUCUUGUUAAUAAUAUAAGAUAAGUCGUAACAUAGUAGAUGUACUGGAAAGUGUAUCUAGAAUAUCAAUUUAAAGCUUAUUAAGUAAAGUAUUUCAUUUACAUUGAAAUGAUUAUUGUGCAAAUCAAUAUAAAUUGAUAAAAUUUAAUUAUUAAUUUUUUUUUUUUAUAAAUAUUUUAUUAAAAAUAAUUAUAAAURUUAUUUUGUUGUAGUAUUUUUUAAAAAAAUAAUAAUUUUUAUUAUAGUUUAAUAUUAAUGUAAAUGAAAUUGAAAUAAAGUGAAA